rnacentral:piRNA from 1 species
UAACAUGAAGAACACUGUAUUAGUCUGAUU